UCAUAAUAGUGAAAAACGCAUAAACUCUACGUUCUUACCUUAUACUUCAAAAGCAUGGCUCAUUCCCUCCGUCGAUUUCAGACUGAAAAAUCGUGGCUCACUGCUAUGUCCUUCUCACCGGCCAUCGUCUCCCUCUCUCCGACCUUCUCACCGGCUGUCGUCUCUCUCUAUCCCACCUUAUCACCGGCUGCUACCUACGUACUAUCUUCGAUUGUUGCCCAGCCAGUUCCACCUUAUCACCGUUGUGCGAUUAGGUUUGUGCGUUUUUGAUGCUCAACAUUGGAUUGCUGUAUGGUAUUUUAAAGAACGUGUUGGUGUGAUGUUUCUUGCAAGGUUAGUCUAUCACAAUCUUUCAUAUAGGUAACUUAGGGUUUGCUUUUGAAUAGGUUGAUUUGUUUGAAUUUCAAUUUGUUGUUUGAUUUCUUUAGUUUUAUAAUCUAGGGUUAAUUUAUUUGAAUUUGGUGUAAUUCCCACAAUCGUUACUUCAAAUUCAUUAUUGUAGCCAUCUUUA